rnacentral:lncRNA from 1 species
UGUUUGUGCUUUGCAGGUUGUCUACGUGUAUCGCUUUAUUGGUUCUUUCUUCGAUCGAUGAGACUCGGUCAGCUUCGACCUCAUCGUGGAGUUAGUGCGACUAGGUCUUUUUGGAUCCGUCUGGCCGAAUUUAGGAUGGUCAUCCAACCCUCUUCGUCAUCUUCUUCUCUGAAACGGUGGGAGCACUGUCACCGUCAUCUUUUGGC